rnacentral:rRNA from 1 species
UACGUAGGGGGCAAGCGUUGUCCGGAAUCAUUGGGCGUAAAGAGCGUGUAGGCGGUUCGGUAAGUCGGCUGUGAAAGUCCAGGGCUCAACCCUGGGAUGCCGGUCGAUACUGCCGGACUAGAGUUCGGAAGAGGCGAGUGGAAUUCCCGGUGUAGCGGUGAAAUGCGCAGAUAUCGGGAGGAACACCUACUGGCGAGGCAGCUCGCUGGGACGUUACUGACGCUGAGACGGCGAAAGCAUGGGGAGCGAACAGG